rnacentral:lncRNA from 1 species
CCUUGUGAGUACCAGGGUUCCCAUCAGACAAACUAGAAAAGGGGAUCCCAGACAUGCUGCUGCUGUUUCACUGUGGAGCAUGACUUAGCAGUAUUGAAACAGAUCUGACUUUUUGCUUGGCAGCACAAAAAUGAUGUUAUUUUAGAAACUCUGUUGGAAAGUAUAGGCAUGAAACUAGUCUGAGGUGAGAGGCCUGCCUUUUCAGAAAAGUUUUAAUGAAACACGAAGUAAUUAGCUUUUUUGUAUGUUUAGUGGCACAAUUUUUAAUUUCGUUGAAGUUUGUAAUAAUUUUAACUGCUUUUUAAUAUGUGUACCACUCAUUUGUAUGCAACCAUGGACAACUUAAAAAAAUACUUUUGUGUUCUUUUUCUCCCUUUUAUUUUUAGUUAAUACAUAAUAACACAUUUGUGGGAUACAAAGUGAUAUUUCAGUACAUGUAUACAACGUGUAAUGAUCAAAGCACAGUAAUCAGCAUAUCCAUCACCUCAGAUGUUUAUCAUUUCUUUGUGUUGGGAACAUUCAGAAUUCUCUCUUCUAGCUUUUUGAAAAUAUACAAUAGAUUGUUGUUAAGUAUAUUUACCUUGAAAUACUACAGAGCACUAGAACUUAUUGAGCUGCAAUUUUGUAUCAACCUCUCCCUCUCCUCUCCUCCCACUAGCCUUCCCAGCUUCUAAUAAACCACAAUUCAAGUCUC